GACGAACGCUGGCGGCGUGCUUAACACAUGCAAGUCGAACGGUGAAGGGGUCUGCUUUUGUGGGCCCUGGAUGAGUGGCGAACGGGUGAGUAACACGUGAGUAACCUGCCCCCUUCUUCUGGAUAACCGCAUGAAAGUGUGGCUAAUACGGGAUAUUCUGGGUCUGUCGCAUGAUGGGUCUGGGAAAGAUUGCGCCUUUGGGGGUUUUUGGUGGGGGAUGGGCUCGCGGCCUAUGAGCUUGUUGGUGGGGUGAUGGCCUACCAAGGCGGUGACGGGUAGCCGGCCUGAGAGGGUGGCAGGUCACACUGGGACUGAGACACGGCCCAGACUCCUACGGGAGGCAGCAGUGGGGAAUAUUGCACAAUGGGCGCAAGCCUGAUGCAGCGACGCCGCGUGAGGGAUGGAGGCCUUCGGGUUGUAAACCUCUUUCGCCAGUGAAGCAGGCCUGCUCCUUGUGGGUGGGUUGACGGUAGCUGGAUAAGAAGCGCCGGCUAACUACGUG
rnacentral:rRNA from 1 species